CUUAGGAAAGGGUUAGGCGAGUGGAAUGAGCAGUCAAUUAAUUAAAAAUGCUUUUCAAAAUGAACAAACUGCCCUGACUUUCUUGGGUUUAAGAAUAUUGGCUGCUGUGAUUUAGUCGUCCCUUGAGGAGAGAAGGCAAGUCAAGAAGGAUUUCAGGGUGUUAUUCCAUUUCAAUUUACCAGAUGUCUCUGUUUUCAACUUGCUUGAUGUGCAUCCUAGAGAAGACUGACUUUUGAAGUGACUUUUAAAUGAAGGAAAAUAUAGUUUGAUGAGUUGAAAUAAUGUUAGUAAGAGAAGUCAAUAUGGCAUUUAGGAAAAAAAAGACAUAAAAGUAAAGAUGGAAAAUUGUGAGCGGAAAGAAGCCAACUGUGCCUGAAAUUUAUUUUAUUCACUAUGCCACGAAAAAUGGGAAAAGGAAAUAAAAGAAAAGGAAAAGAAAAAAAGAAAAAAGUUCCAGGGUAAUGGUAUCUCAGAGUAAUUCAUUUCCUUGUGAGGAUAUUUUUAUCCCCAAGGAAUUCUUCAGAAUUUCUUACCAACGUCAUAGUGAUGAAAUUAUUGGUUUCUUCUUUAGAGAGGCAAUGAGAUGUAUAAAUGAAG